AGCAACACGAUCUGUUGAAAAAGAAUAGCCAAUGCAAAAAGUAAACGUAUAAUAGUUUUGGAAUACAUUUCACAUGUUAUAGAUGGACUCGUUAUUUUUUUUAUUCUAAAAGUAUUGUUUUAUCAUUGAACUAAAGAAUAAUGUAUUUUUAUUAUUUUGUAACGUAGGCUAAAAUGCGAUAAUACGGAGCGGACCAACAGAAUAUUAGCAGUGACUAGGCUACACUAACACAACAUGGUAAACACAAAGUGUUGCCUUUAUUUUCUUACAACAGUUCAGAUGUUAGUUGAAAACAGUCCGUUGUCAUAUGGCCACUUAAUUGUCGUAAUUUAUUCAACAGUAUAGGACAAUACAAAUAAGGUUAAUAGGCCUAUAAUAUAAGCCUUAAAUAUGUUUUUUUGUUCGUUGUAGGCCUAGCAUUAAGAUUAGGCGAUUAUCCUUUCGGGAUUCCGAUCCAGUACAAUACGAUAUUGACUAGAAAAGCUACUUAAAUUUUUCCAAUUGGCCUAUUUAUAAUUUCCCAGAAGCUUUUUCUCGUGGUGGCCUUUUAAACUAAAAUUAUAGACAGACUAUCCACGUAACCCGUGUCCAUGCGCAAGAACUAUGUAGCCAAUGUAUUCCGUAAUAUUACUGACUUUCCAACACCGCAUCACCGUCAUUGGCUUCUCAUAUUUUGAAACCGAAAAUGCGAAAAUAGUUUUUCUUUCAAGUGUAUUCAUUUCGGAAAACUAAAAGAUCAGGAACUCGUGAGUAACUCAGCGGCUGCUAGCAAUUCGGCUCGAUAUGCAUUAUGCAUAGCCGGGAAAGGAAAGGUAAUGACGUUGCAAACUGCACACGUGACUCAGCGCUAGCUGCUCCCAGAGACUGUAAGAAAAAAAAAAAAGCUGCUCCACUGAACUGCGACUGGAGUUUCAUCUAGUUUACAUGACGGGAGAUCGACGGGGCCAGUUUACGACCUGAAAGCGAUUUGUUUUCUUAUUUUAAAACGUUGAAAGAAAAGUUCACUUAUGGCAAAUGCCACAAAAACAGGAUUUGGUCAAAGUGAGAACACGGGAUGCGUGACGCAUACCGGUGGAUGCCAUUGUGGGGCAGUCCGUUUCGAGGUGUGGAGUUCGCCUGAUCUACACGUCUUUAAUUGCAACUGCAGCAUUUGCACUAAGAAACAGAACCGCCAUUUCAUUGUACCAAAACGUCAGUUCACUCUUUUGCAGGCGUGGCACCGCACUGCUUGGACCCGGGCACUGUGAGGAGCGUGAGGGUGGAGGACUUCUGUGGUGAGAAGUGGGAGGAGAGUAUGGAGGCACACCAG